rnacentral:snoRNA from 1 species
GGCUGUCGGUGAUGAUUUACCUACAUUGUUUGAUUAUAAAUGAUUUAAAAUUUUAUCUGAGACUGUC